rnacentral:rRNA from 1 species
AUCUUCCGCAAUGGGCGAAAGCCUGACGGAGCAACGCCGCGUGAGUGAUGAAGGGUUUCGGCUCGUAAAACUCUGUUAUCAGGGAAGAACAAAUGUGUAAGCAACUGUGCACAUCUUGACGGUACCUAAUCAGAAAGCCACGGCUAACUACGUUCUACCAGCCGCGGCAAUACGUAGGUGGCAAGCGUUAUCCGGAAUUAUUGGGCGUAAAGCGCGCAUAGGCGGUUUCUUAAGUCUGAUGUGAAAGCCCACGGCUCAACCGUGGAGGGUCAUUAGAAACUGGGAAACUUGAGUGCAGAAGAGGAAAGUGGAAUUCCAUGUGUAGCGGUGAAAUGCGCAGAGAUAUGGAGGAACACCAGUGGCGAAGGCGACUUUCUGGUCUGUAACUGACGCUGAUGUGCGAAAGCGUGGGGAUCAAACA